ACUGCUGCCCAGAGUUGUGAAAUUGCAAUGCAAUGUUACGGUCUCUCCCUCUUGGAUUUCUUGCUGGCUGGGCCAUUGGGAUACUGCAUCACUCUGGGAGAAACCUGCAAGCCAGAAAUAUGAUAAGACAUCUCACGAUGUGGCUGCGUCACGGACUCACUUUGGCCUGCCCCUGAAAAAUGCGGGAAAUCAGGUUUUUGAUUGGUUUCUCUUCUGCUUUGCUUCACUGUGCUCCUCCAGCACAGAAAUAGACAGCAGAGUCACUCAGCUGGCUGGCCGCUUUCUCCAGGCUGAAAAUUCUCAGUGUGUUGUCCUUCGGAGCAUGGAAACCCCGGACAGACCCUUCAGCUGAGGAAUCACUGAAAUCCUUCAGAAAGAGCUUGGGGGGUUGCCCAGGGUGCUGAAUAUACCAGUACAGAUAGUAGAUCGUGGAAUCGUAGUUGCAUUUGAGAACGAUACUGCUUCCUUCGGUGACAGUCACAACUCCUUCUGUCUGGUUUAUUGGCAAUCCAAGACUCCCUCCUGUAACAAUGAAAGUAAGGUAUUAAUGGGCACAAGAUGGAAAUAAAGGUCAGUUCUGGAGUUCUUUGGGUCUCUCUAGUUGAGAAA